CCUACGGGUGGCAGCAGUGGGGAAUAUUGGACAAUGGGCGAAAGCCUGAUCCAGCCAUGCCGCGUGUGUGAAGAAGGCCUUCGGGUUGUAAAGCACUUUCAGUGGGGAAGAAAGCCUUGGGGCUAAUACCCUCGAGGAAGGACAUCACCCACAGAAGAAGCACCGGCUAACUCCGUGCCAGCAGCCGCGGUAAUACGGAGGGUGCGAGCGUUAAUCGGAAUUACUGGGCGUAAAGCGCGCGUAGGCGGUCUGAUAAGCCGGUUGUGAAAGCCCCGGGCUCAACCUGGGAACGGCAUCCGGAACUGUCAGGCUAGAGUGUAGGAGAGGAAGGUAGAAUUCCCGGUGUAGCGGUGAAAUGCGUAGAGAUCGGGAGGAAUACCAGUGGCGAAGGCGGCCUUCUGGACUGACACUGACGCUGAGGUGCGAAAGCGUGGGUAGCAAACAGGAUUAGAUACCCGAGUAGUC
rnacentral:rRNA from 1 species